GUGGUGUUUAUUUACACAGACAUCAGAUUACUAUUGCUAUUCCCUCCAAUUAUGGAGAAGACCGGUGGAAGAUCCAGAGGCAAAGGGGAAGGGAAAGUACAGAAGGGAGGACCUGGAGCCAGAAGUGAACUUACCUUGGUUGAUGCUGCCUGGUAUGCUUCUUCUCCUCCCUCCUGUUGCCACUUUAGUUCUUGUCAAAAAAAUACCCUUGUUUGGUUUGCCAUGGCAGCUCUGUAGGUUUUUGGAUCCAGGAUGGGAUCCCCUUUCUUUCAUGGAGAAGAAGGAGACGCCUUGGAGGAGGAAGUGUAGAUGAAGGAGGCGUGGGAGGCUUCUGGAGGGUAGUGGGGUCAUGUGAUAGCGACCGGGCCUUGGGUUUCUG
rnacentral:lncRNA from 1 species